UGAGUACGAGAUGCUACGGCAUCGAAGCAGUCUAUGUCAUACUUCCAAGAAAAGCUUGCAAUGUCAUAAACAAAUAAUGCCUGUACCAUAACCGACACAGGUGGGUAGGUAGAGUAUACUAAGGGGCGCGAGAUAACUCUCUCUAAGGAACUCGGCAAAAUGACUCCGUAACUUCGGGACAAGGAGUGCCUUAUUUUUAUAAGGUUGCAAUAACAAGAUCCAAGCAACUGUUUACCAAAAACACAGGUCUCCGCUAAGUCGUAAGACGAUGUAUGGGGGCUGACGCCUGCCCAGUGCCAGAAGGUUAAAGAAGUUGGUUAGCAUUAGCGAAGCUGAUAACUGAAGCCCUGGUGAACGGCGGCCGUAACGAUAACGGUCCUAAGGUAGCGAAAUUCCUUGUCGGGUAAGUUCCGACCCGCACGAAAGGCGUAAUGAUUUGGAUACUGUCUCGGAGAGGGGCUCGGUGAAAUAGACUUGUCUGUGAAGAUGCGGACUACCUGCACCUGGACAGAAAGACCCUAUGAAGCUUUACUGUAACUUGAGAUUGAAAUUGGACUUUAUCUGCGCAGUAUAGGUGGGAGACGUUGAAAAUGUUCUUGCGGGAAUAUUGGAGUCAUCAGUGAGAUACCACUCUUAUAAUGUUAGAUUUCUAACUUUGUAUCAUUAUCUGGUCAAAGAACAGUUUCAGGCGGGCAGUUUGACUGGGGCGGUCGCCUCCCAAACGGUAACGGAGGCGCACAAAGGGUUCCUCUGAACGUGUAGAAAUCGUAUCUAGAGUGUAAAGGCAUAAGGAAGCUUGACUGUGAGACCUACAAGUCGGGCAGGGACGAAAGUCGGUCUUAGUGAUCUGACGGUGCUGAGUGGAAAGGCCGUCACUCAACGGAUAAAAGUUACUCUAGGAUAACAGGCUGAUCUCCCCCAAGAGUUCACAUCGACGGGGAGGUUUGGCACCUCGAUGUCGGCUCAUCGCAUCCUGGGGCGGUAGUACGUCCCAAGGGUUGGGCUGUUCGCCCAUGAAAGCGGUACGCGAGCUGGGUUCAGAACGUCGUGAGACAGUUCGGUCCAUAUCCGGUGUAGGCGUUAGAAUAUUGAGAGGAGCCUUCUUUAGUACGAGAGGACCGAGAAGGACAUACCUCUGGUGUACCAGUUAUCGUGCCAACGGUAAACGCUGGGUAGCCAUGUAUGGAGAGGAUAACCGCUGAAAGCAUCUAAGUGGGAAGCCCACCUCAAGAUAAGUAUUCC
rnacentral:rRNA from 1 species